rnacentral:rRNA from 1 species
UCACGCAUCGCGUCUUCCCUACACACCUAGCGUGUUAGCGAAGGAUGAUGGCUUCCCGUCCCUCACCGGGGGCGGUUGGCCUAAAAUUGGAGCCAAGGGCGUGCAGCCGCAGUGGCGUUAGGUGGUAAACAAGGCCUAGGCCGCGUAAGCAACCUGUCACACGGCAACACGCUUGCUGUSGCUCGAAGAACCCAUUGAUGUUUGCACAACGUGCAAUACAAAAUCGUUGCG